CACUGACCGCUCCGCGAGCCGGCGGGAGAAGAUUAGGGCUCCCGAGGUUACUUGCUCGGGGCUCAGGCCGCUCUCCCCCGACGCUCGGGCUGCUCGGCCUAUCUGGCUUUCGGCCUCCCUCUCGUCCUCCUUCUGCCCCCUCCCUUGCUCCUUCCCGGCCGCGCCGCCUGCGCCCUCGCCUCCUGUCGCGCUGCUCCUCCGCCCUGCGCUCCUGGGUCCCCGCAGUCCGGCUGGCUGUGUUGCGCGCGGGGCUCACUUUUUCGCCGCCGGUGGCGAGUGGCUGGUGGGUAGGUCUUCCUGAUGACGAGGUCCCUCCCGGGCUUUAGGAAAAUGGGCGACUUGGAACAGGCUGGUUGGCUCGCGCUUUGGCGCACAGCUCCGGGCCUGGUUGGGCUUGGCUGCCGGGUCGGGUGAGUUCCUGAACUGGCUGCGCGUGGCGCGCUGGAAGCUACCUAAGGGAAGAAGAACCGGUCAUGGGAUGAAUAGACCCAGAGGAAUUGUUUGCUGCUGCUACCCCACUACCCCGUUCCCCUCGACCUCAGAGCUCCAAAAACCUGGGUUGGGGGAAAAGGGACGUUUCUUGCCUAAGCGGAGAAUCAGGCUGGAAUCGCACAGGUAAAAGCUAGUUGACUCCGCGGACUGCCCUGUCUUUCCGACCCUCAAGGUCGGCUUUGCAGUUUAACUCUAGAAUUAGAAGGCGCACUAACCCGAAGCCUAAGUGCGAAGUGAUCUUCCAGUCGUUUAAAGUUUGCAAAGCGAUUAUGGCCUGUCCAGUUCUUCUGUCUGAUGGUCUCCUGCCCUUUGUUUUUAAGCAAACGUGUGCAAUUAGCUGGUGGUGUUAGAUAAUUGUAAGGACUAGUCUCCAGGUCCCUCUAGAGAUUUUAAAAAUGCGCCAGUCCAAGGGCGUGAGUAGGGAGGGAUCUAACGCAGAAGAACUGCGAAAUACCUAUUUCACUUCACCUGGGGUGUUUUAUCUGAUCAUUUUCUAUUGGGAAACAACCUGAAGAAGAAUGUUGGCUGCAACUCACCGGUAAUUCUUUUCAAUAAUUUCAUACAUGUUCCCGUCAGCUCUUACUGUCUCCCAAAAACAAAGUCUCAGGAAGGCCACGAAGAAUCCCUCCCCCUCUCCCCGCACUAAUCCAAAAGCUUCUAAAUAGCUAUUCCUUAUCUAUUGUGACUGCCAGUUUUAUCUGAAAAGGCCCUCAUACCCACGCUGUAAUAGGUUUAAUUUCGGUGUCUCAUUGCCUUGAGAAAACCCGGUGUGUUAGGAAACUCCUUUCUUUGUAUCAUUUGCCAGAUCUAGUCCUUGAUAAGAGCUGUGAGCUCUCUGCCGGCCUCAGUGGGUCGGUUUACAGGGAUAUGCUUCUCCAGAGCGCCAGGAGAAGCUAAGAUGUGUGAAUUUCCUCUUGAUCUAGCUGGGUCUUUACCGAGAACUGGCAUUUGUUUUGUCUUCUCUAAAGGAAAAUUUCGAAGUGGGUCUCAUCCCUUCUAUUUUUAUUGUAACAUAUCGGAGUGCGUGUGCGAAAUCGAAAUUUAGACAUGUUGAUAAAUUUACCAGAUGAGGGGAAGGCAGAGGGUGUUUUUGUUUUUUUGGUCAUAAGUUCUAGUCUCUGGUGUUAUGUGCGUGGAGCCUUUUGUCAGGCUGCUUUUGCAAAAUUGAUGCUGAUAAUGACAAUACAAAGCACAUCUUCCCAGUUGUACGGAUUUUUCCUGUAUAGGUAACCAAGUUGACGCUAGUUCUUCUUUUUUUUAAGGUACUAUAAUGCCAGAAAGUAAAUACAGGAUUUUAACCAAUCAUUUUCCGUCAUGCCACCUUUUAUAACAUGGAAUUAAACAACGGAAGCUGCCAGAAGCCUGAUGACUUAACACUUGAGAUCAGAAAGCAGCCUCAGGAUCCAUCCUCCUUCAAACCAGCCACAUACAGUGUGGUAUUUUAACUCCCUAAACUAAUUAUUUGGCUCUUCUAAAGAGUUAUUGCUGCUGAUGAUAGAAAAUCCAAAUAGAAAAAACUGGCAUGUGGCUUGGAGGGAAACCAUUAGUAAUAGGUAGUUUCAUCAUAAUGGUGAGGACAACAUGUUUUCCUUUUUUUCAGCCCAUAGUGUUACUGUAAACAAGUGUUUUCUUAAUAAGUCUCUAAACUGAUAGAGGUGAAGAUCAUGCAGAAGAUACCCCCCUGGCAAAGGAAAAAAUUGGAGGGAACCCAAUAGUUAGGUUGUUCCUCACUGUACGUGCUCUGGAGUUCUGUAUGUCUAUUGCUAAUACAUUUUGUAUAAAAAUCAAAGGAUAGCAGGCAUUAUUGUUUCACUUUACCCUGAAGUUCAAAUGUGAUCACAGAUAAUUCCCCCGUUUCUUUAAAAGAUUUCUAUACACUCAUUUAAUACAUCAAAUAUAUCUGUAAAAAUUGUGUAAAUGUUUUUAUAGCAUAUAUCAAACUGUGAUUAGUAAUAUCCCCCCAUUUGAUCACAGGAGCGACCUCUUGUGUUCAAAGGGGGGAUUAAACCGUCUAGUCAAAAAUGGACUCAAUUUUGACCUUUAUAAUUUCUAUUAGAUCAAAAAAAUCUAUUUUUCAAAACAGCAGUUGUGUGAAUCCCCUGUGGUGAGCUCCUACUGAUGAAAGAAAAGGAAGAAUAUGACUAGUUAUUAAGUAUAGUUCCCAUUGCCUCCAGGGCACCCCCAAUAUAUGUAGUGUCUUUAAAAGGAUGCAGAGAUUUAAUUUCCUCUUGAGUCUUGUAGCGUUUGCCCAAAUGUGCUUAUACACACCUUCCAAAAUGCGGGCUUUACACCCAGAGUUACUAGUGGGCUCUUAUGCCUGUGUUUUGUGUGUUGUUGCUUUUUUUCUCUGCUUUGAUUAAAAUUUAAACGUUCCACGUCAAACUUAAUGCCAAAUAGAGAUUCCUGAACAAAUAUCAUGUUCUCAAGCUACAGUUCAAAUAUCUAAAUAGAUUUUAAUUGCAAUUGACAAGCAGUUUACACAUUUAGGGUCUCUUUAGUUCCCAAUAAGUUCUGGCAGAUAUAAGUGGAUUUUAAGUUGGUUCUUUGGGAAAUUAUGUACAGUAAGGGAGAAAGCUUUUUCCUCCCCAGCUAACCAAGAUUGGGAAGGAAAGGUGGCUUUGAUCAGCUCUCCCUCCACUGUAGAUUUGUUUGGGAACUUAUUCCCAGGGAGGUGAUGCUCUCUAAGAUAGCCCAUGUCAGGGCUAUGAGAACAACAAUUGGAAUGCCACUUUCUACAUGUAAGGUGUUCAGAAAGGAAAAAAAAUAUAACAGUUAUAUUUUCUGGUAUCCACAAAUAUGUAAUAUUGGAGGUCAAAAUGAAACUUUUUAUUCACCUCAGAAAAUAGGUAUGUGUGUAAAUAUAUAUAUGUAUAUAUAUAUGCAUAAAUAUAUAUAUGUAUAUAUAUCCCAUACCCCUCACAUUUUGUUUUUACUUUUCCUUUGUAGUCUGAUCAUGUAAAAGAAGGCUAUUCAAACCAUCAGUAUCUUAAAUCACAUCAGGGGUCAGAUAAAAUUAUAUAUGGGUAUAAAGAAGGUUAGGAUUAACCAUUUAUACUCCACCCAGAACAGGAUGUGGAUAUUCAGAGCUAAUUUGCCUCUCUUCCAGUUGCUGGUGGUGGCUUAAUGAAGAUGAAUCAAGAGAACCCUGCACUCUAAUUUCAGGGAAAAGUUGAAGGGAUCUUCUUUAUGUACCAUUGGGUAUGAAAUUAUUAUCUCUUUCCCGUCUUCUCCUUUUACUUGCUCCCCCCCCCAAUAAUACUAAGCAAUGAUAAUAAAGGCAGUUAUUAACAACAGCAAACCUUUAGUUGUGAUCCUUAUUUUAUUGCCGAGGAAUCCUGAUGUGAUUAUGGUUUUGUUGAGUGUCUAUUGCUUUAUUAACCAGUUGGAACAAUCUGGGUGAAUUAGGAAGAAUUUUCUUCCGCACUCAGAGCUUCCUGGCCUGAAUUUAGGUAGUUGUGUAUGUCACCAGCGGUCCUGCUCUUUUUUUUUUUUUUUUUUUUUUUUUUUUACUGGCAGAGGGCAAUCCGGGAGGCAGCGUUCAUGUGCGGUCUGCUGCUCGGUUCCCAGCCUAGAUAGAAUUCCACGCUCCCGGCAGCGGCGAAGCCACAAACCUCAGAUCAGUCUUGAGAAGGCGAGGUUCCUCCUCCUUGCGGGUAGGACUUCGACCAAGCGAGAACAGGAAUUUGCACCCUCCCUUUAAAACUGUUUUUUGGAGGUAUUUAUUAUGAUUCCACGAAAGUGCUGGCAAUGUCAACUGAAACCUUUUUCUUCCUUUUUUAAAUUUUUUUUUUCUUUUUGAAAUCUUAUGUGACUAGGAACAGGCAGUUUUUACAGGAUCAGAGUUCUGCGUGGAGCGCAGGUUGGAACCAUAGUGCAAUGUGCUAUGAGGUUUUGACCCAAGGACGCACUGAGCCCUACCCCCUGGCAGAGCCUCCAUUAAAUGUAUCGGAUUCUCGCCGGGGGUAAUUGGAGUUCCAGGUCCUGGGCGCUUCAGCUGAAAGCUACCACAUCUGCAAUGAAUCUAGCAAAACACCCACGGGCCCACCCGAGCUCUCGGGAAACCCGGAGCAAGUUAACUCAAGUGUAGUUGAUCAAAUGGCAGUCUUUCAGAAAGAAGCGACACGCUCUCCCCCGCUGCGAUUCUAUCCAACCGGCAGCUCUGAAUUUUUGCCAAAGGAUUGAUUUCCAACGCACGCGGAAGGUUUACAGGGAACCAGUGGGGGAGGGGAGGAGAAGGUACCUUGGAGGAGGUCGAGAGGAGGAGGAGCAGAAGCAGAAAAUUACCAGACAGGCGGGGGAGGGAAUUGGAGGCCCGGAAAUCUUCCAGGAUGCCUCAAAUAACCCUCUCUUUCGUCUCAGAAUUCAGCGCUCGAAAAAAAAAAAAAUAGCUUCGUAAUAAGGUGUCCAGGGUUGGAGUUCUCGGGUGGGCGGUGGAGGUGAUAUCAAGAGUUACAGCUACUUUCUACGAAUUAAACUGGUGGCUAAAGCGUAUUGGGGCCCUUUAAUGUAGCUGAGAGAAGCGUGGGUGGGAGCCGUUUUAAAGGGGAGAGGCAAUCAUUGGUGGCAUCUACCAGCAGACUGUGAGAGUAGAAGAGAAGGAGGUUUGGGGACUGGAGAAAAAUCUUCAAAUCCCGGGAAAAGGCUAGUAAAUUCAGAAGAGAAGAUUUUAGGGACAGUCUUAAAGGUCGUCGUCUGCUUGGACUUCGCGGAGGUGGAUGGGAGGAUGCGCUUCGACCGUGUGUGCAUUUAAAAUCCUCUUCGCCUCCUGAUCUGUGCUGUUAAGAAAACAUUAAUUCUUUGCGACUUCAGGUUAAGAGGAGAAUUUGCCCUGCGCCUCUACCUGCUAAAUACCCACCGAGAAGGGGGCCCCAGGAGACGACCCCUUUCUGAGAGAACGUCAUUUGAUCAAUUCAACUGAGUUAAUAACUUGCCUCCCGGAAGGGUUCAGAAUGCCUUCCCCUCCCACCUGCGCAGCGGUGCGGUGCGGAGGUUGCUCGCUCUCCUUGAAGGCCCAGGAAACCCUGUCUGACUGUGCUUUGCUGGCCCAGAAGAACCUUGCGAUUAACUUUCUGGUAUUUCCUAGAACCCCCUCGCCUGCUUUCAAGCACAGAGGUCGCUAGAGAUUUAGGCUACCCCAAGUUCGAGGAAAAGAAAAGCGGGAAGCCGAGACACAUCCCCCCCUCCACGUCGGUGCCCUCGGCCUCCUCCCAUACGGACUUCCGAUUUGCCAACCUCUUAGCAGGGCACUCCCCACGUCCGCAAACCUUCAGUGUUCUGCGCUUGAGGGCCUUUUUCCAUUCCACCUUUCCAAUGGAAGAAGUGGAAAAACUGAACUGGAUCUACACCCACGGCCCUAAUUACUGCUAGACUUAAGGAAAAAAAGUCAAUGUCCCACAGACCUUUUUCCAUCCCGGGUCGGCGAGCGCAGCUACCAGAGAGGCCACUGGGUUCCUUAGGUAAAUCUGUUUGCAACCCACGUUUGGGACCAGAAUACCCGAUGGCCUGCCUUGUGUCUCCCAUUGGUGGGUCCGGGUGGGGACGGUGAAGUAAAGGUGAAUUGCGGUGCAGAUUACUAACAGAGCAGGGGGUCUCUGUCUGCCACCUGGGGGCUGCCUGCUGGGAGACCCUCCAACUUCAUAGACACGAAGAGUGGAAAAGAACACGCCAGCCCCGGCGGCCGGCUCGGAGAUUAAACCCUGUUGGAAGGUAAAACUUUCAGUGUUAGGUUGGUCCUUCUCUGCCCAUGCCCCAACCUCCCAGGUUCCCCCCCAAAUAAAUGCACGUGUGGAAAUGAAAGAAUCAAGGUACUAUUUUAACUGCUUCAGACCCUUUGUCAAAACAUCUCCUUAUGCCAUCAACUGAUAAAGGCAUAACUUGCUCUGAGCUUCUGUAUUUCAGAAAACUGUUAAGGACGACAGCCCCUCUGCGUUUGCUUUGGUGGCAGCGUCCGGAAAUGAUGGCAUUGAUACAGAACAUUUGAAUGAAUAUUUUAGUUAUUAAUAUCACAACCGAAAUAAAGAUACCUCCGAAGUAUUAAUUGGCAAUUUUUUUCCAGGUUUAUUUUAAUUCACUUGGUGUUUGCAUUGGAAAACAAGAGAGAGUCCCGCAGUGUAGAGUCACUUCUGUGCUCUUCUGUUAGGCUGGGAAUCUACGCGGGCUGAUUAGCCAGAGAGGCAGGCUCCUUUGUUGAUUUAAGAGUUCAUCAGGCGAGACAAUUAACAAUUACCUUGUUGCUUUUCCUCAAUUUUCUAUUGUUAACUUAUGUCUGGAAUGCCUCCACUGUACAAAAUUCAAUACAAAAAUGAAAAAAAUUAAGGUAAAAAGGUAAUACUGAUAAUAGAGGUCUAUUUUAACUGACCUUGUGUAUGGAUUGUAUAUACCUCGUAGAUAUAUGAAAAACAUUAGAAGUAUAUAGCAUAUGUUUUAUAUAUAUAAUUGUGUGCUAAUAAUUUUUUGAUAUUACAAUGUAGUUCUAGAAAAAGUGUUUGAAAUACUAUUUCAUAAUACACAUAACACCCUCCUUCCAAGAAAAUAAUUAGGAGGCUUCAAAAUGAUAUUCAGGGUGCUUUGUUAAAAGAACAAAAUCUGAAACUUCAUGGACCCAAGUCACAUUGAACAUGAUGGUUCAUGGCUAGGUUGCUACAGGUUAAUUCUAUAAGGAAAUAAUCCCCUUCGGUUUGCACAAUAUCAUUUUUUUUUUCAGUUGUGUGUUUAAAGUAUAUAUUUUACCACUUACUAGUCUGAAAUUUCCAAUCAUAUCAUAUCAGCAAGAAACAAAAUAGAAAUAAGUCCUAGAUAAUGCUUAAGGACCAACUAUGAUUAACUUUUGUGAUUUGUCAGUAUUGUGCUCUUAUUUAAAUGUAAAUGUUAAUAUAACUAGAGAGUUUACCACCUCAUAAUUUGCAAGAAAUUCAUAUAAAGUGGAAGAGCAAAUAUUGCUUUCUGUAAUGUCUACUGAGGGUUUAUCAUCAAAAUAUAGUAAUAAUCAUGAUUCAUAUGUUUAACAAAUAUGUAGCUAUCCAUUCUGCUAUCAGAGCUUCAGUCUAGUUAUAAAAACGUUGAACUGUUAUAUCAUGUGUGUUCUUACUUGAAUGUGGCUAAAUUAAUACUUUGCUAUUUCUAAGAAUCCUCCCCCCUACUCCCCAGAUAAAUGUAAUAGCCCAGGAUAAUUAAUGCAUCUUGUACUGUAAUGCUAAAUCAGAAAUGAUAUUAUUACUUACAACUAGCAUCCUGCUGAUUUUCACUUGAAUAUCAGGACUUAAAUUAUGUUAUGUCCCACUUCAGAAUGUGGUACAAUGUGCUAUUUUGUCUUCUUGGCUUAGUCUUAGAAUUUAUUAUUCACUGUCCUUUUUCUAGCUGUACAAGCCGUUGAUGAUAGUGAUGAGAAGCACUGGUUAUAGCUUCACUGGCUUUGGAAUCUCCUAUGAUAGAUGAAAAAAUAGAAAUCUUAUCUUUCUAGGUAUGGAUGGUGUAUUUCUUCCGAUUCUGAGAUGUUGAUUUAGCUGUCCCAAACAUCACAUGAUGUGCUUCUCCAUAAUCCUGUACCCAAGUCAUUGCGGAUCUGCUGACAUGACUUUGGAUAUGCUGAGCCAGGGCAAAUAGAUUCUUUUGAAUUAUGCCAGUAGUGAGGAAGAAACAUGAGUACAGCUCUCAAAGUGGAAGAAAAGACGUCCUUUGUAUAAGGAAAACGUUUACAUAACAGCCUUUGGAGGACUAAAUAGACAGCGCUACAUGGUGGUUCUACGCAAGGCUACCAAGACUGAAAUACCACCAUACCCCUCCACAAGUAUCUUUCAAGGGACACAAAAUAACUUGUAAACAUUUACUUCUUGGACAGUCAUAAAGGCUUUUUAGUCUUUAGAGGUUUUUGCCUAGUUUUGUUUGUUGGUUUUUAAUUUAAAUACCAAACCUUCUAUAGGUGAUUUUUCCCCCUGUUCCUUUAUCCUUUUGAAUUAUUGUGAAGGUUUCUAUAAUAAGCAUUUUUACAAUAAGAAAAAAAGGAAAGAAAGGCAAAUGUCAAAAAGGAAACAAAGAUGAUGGAUCUAAAAGGAGUGAUAUAGAGUGGAAUACAACUCAGCAGUGAAAAGGAGUGAACUAUUGAUACAUGCUAUUGAAUGGAUGAAGCUCAGAGCAAAUGUGCUGAGUGAAAGAAGACCAAUAAAUGGACACACUCUAUGAUGCCACUUAUAUAAAAUUCUAGGAAAUACAAACUAACGUAUAGUGAGUGACAAAUCAAAUAAGCAGGAGAUUGGAGAUGGAAUGGGUAAUGGAGAGGAGGCAGGGAGGGAUUACAGUGGAUACUUUUGAAGCUGAUGUAGCUUUUAGAGGUUCAUUAUCUUGAUUGUGGUGAUAGUUUCUCAGGUGUACACAUAUGUCAAAGCUUACCAAAUUAAACACUUUAAAUAUGUUCAGUUUAUUGUAUAUCCAUUAUGCUUUAAUAAAGCUAUUAAAAUUUGA
rnacentral:lncRNA from 1 species